AAUAUUGGACAAUGGGGGCAACCCUGACCCAGCCAUGCCUCGUGUGUGAAGAAGGUCUUCGGAUUGUAAAGCACUUUAAGUUGGGAGGAAGGGCUUUAGGCUAAUACCCUGAAGUUUUGACUUUACCAACAGAAUAAGCACCGGCUACCUCUGUGCCAGCAGCCGCGGUUAUACAGAGGGUGCAAGCGUCAAACGGAAUUACUGGGCGUAAAACGCGCGUAGGUGGUUCAGUAAGAUGGGGGAGAAAGCCCCGGGCUUAAACUGGGAACUGCUUUCAUAAAUGCUGAGCUAGAGAACGGUAGAGGGUAGUGGAAUUUCCUGUGUAGCGGUGAAAUGCGUAGAUAUAGGAAGGAACACCAGUGGCGAAGACGACUACCUGGACUGAUACUGACACUGAGGUGCGAAAGCGUGGGGAGCAAACA
rnacentral:rRNA from 1 species